rnacentral:rRNA from 1 species
UACGGAGGGGGCAAGCGUUGUUCGGAAUUACUGGGCGUAAAGGGCGCGCAGGCGGCUGCUCAAGUCAGGCGUGAAAGGCCUGGGCUCAACCCGGGAAUUGCGCUUGAGACUGGGCUGGCUUGAGUGCGGGAGAGGAUGGUGGAAUUCCCAGUGUAGAGGUGAAAUUCGUAGAUAUUGGGAAGAACACCAGUGGCGAAGGCGGCUCACUGGCCCGAUACUGACGCUGAGGCACGAAAGCGUGGGGGAGCAAACAGG